AGGAAGCAAUAGAUCGCAAGCGGCCAGACCGCGAACAACACCGAGUUCGCGUUGAAGCGCUGGGCCUGAAAUUGAUAGAUCGGCAGCAGCAUGAGCAGCAGCAGAACAACCGCGGCGCUUGUCGCCUUUCGCGAAGCGGCGGGUCGUAAGGUCGAUGAUCCAGAGCGCCACGGCCGAAUUGGUCAUCGCCAGAAGGUGAAACGACCAGUCACGAACCG
rnacentral:misc_RNA from 1 species